UUUGGAACUCAUUUUUACAGAAGACAUAAAAAGGAAAUGAGGAAAACUAUGACAUAUCAGUGCCAACAAUUGGCAUAAAGAAGAACUAGAUAAAUGAAUGAGCUCUCUGAGGAAAUUAAAAGAGAAUCCUAGCAUGGAAUAAAGAAUGGGAUAAAAGAAUCCAACUGAAUUAGAAAUAUGUGAAAAUACCUAACUGAAGUGGGUGGAGAAAAAAUAUG
rnacentral:lncRNA from 10 species